ACAAAAGCAGAGCUCGGAAAACAUAUACAUCCUCGCCCCCUAUUUCCACUUCACCGCACACAUCUCCCAAACCGAGCCCCAAAGAAGCCAUAUGUCAUAUUAUCCAAAGGUGCUCUCCCUUCCGUCCCCAUCCUCACCCCCGAAAAAAGGAAAAAUUGUACGUGACCAAAUUUACCUUGGAUGGGAGAGGGGAAUCUAUCCCCUCACUUCUUACGGAUGUGUGCUCCCCUUUUGCUGUAGCUGAUGAUGGUUUUGCCUUCCUCUCCGUCAGGGUAAGGAGAAAAGGGAUUUGUGGUGCCCUUUCUCUCUCUCUCUCUCUCUCUCUCGCUCUCUGACGUGAGCAACGAAGCGUAGAUAGAGUCGGCAGGCAGAGAGAGAGAGAAAAAAGAGGGAGGUCGACAGGGAAGAAGAGGAGGCUCUUUUCGGAGCAACAAGUGUGGGGAUUUAGGAAGAGAACGAGAAAGGCUGAAGUGGAGCCUCACGAGCAGGCCAGGGUUGUGUUCAAACUCAGCAGCAGGUAAACCAAGCGGGCAGGCAGGACCCGAGAGAAGCUUGAAGGGGAAUCUCAGUCUGGGCCCAACUGAAGGCUGGUGGAGAAAGAGGAGGAGGCGAAGGAGGAGGCUGCUGGCCCAGGCCUGGAGUGAUGCUGCUGCUGGUCGGAGCACUCGUGAAGGGGCAGUUUGUGUAAAAGGGAAAACCCGGAAGGAUGCUUCAUAAGCACACUGAAGUCAAAUGAGUCUCUUUCCUCAGAAAUGGAUUGGACCUUGAGUCCUGCCAUCCAAACAUGACUACCAAAUGCUUUUCUUUGCAAGUCUGUGUGACAGAAGAAUAUCACUGAGUUCAUCGUCUUCUUCUAAGAGAAACGUGGCAAAAGGAGUCUUCGAUGUUUCAUUAUGCGAACUAUUAUGAGAUGAAUAUUAACACAUAAUAGAACUUAAUGUAUUGUGUCCAUCUAGCAUUUAUAGAUCUGUUUUAUGUAUGGUUGAUCAAACAAGAAGUUGAUUUGAAACAGCCUUGAAUAUUGCCACAGACUGCAAUUGAAUGGUCCUUUGAAAGAAGCAGUAAUGAAGAAUGAAACUAGCGAUAUUUGUAGGCAGGUCAGGUUUUGUGAUCUGAAUGGGAAUAGAAGAAAUAAAAGGAAAAUUANUAAUUAUAUACA
rnacentral:lncRNA from 1 species